rnacentral:rRNA from 1 species
GAUUAACGCGAAGAACCUUACCUACCCUUGACAUGGUCGGAAUCCUGCUGAGAGGUGGGAGUGCUCGAAAGAGAACCGGCGCACAGGUGCUGCAUGGCUGUCGUCAGCUCGUGUCGUGAGAUGUUGGGUUAAGUCCCGCAACGAGCGCAACCCUUGUCCUUAGUUGCUACGCAAGAGCACUCUAAGGAGACUGCCGGUGACAAACCGGAGGAAGGUGGGGAUGACGUCAAGUCCUCAUGGCCCUUAUGGGUAGGGCUUCACACGUCAUACAAUGGUCGGAACAGAGGGUUGCCAACCCGCGAGGGGGAGCUAAUCCCAGAAAACCGAUCGUAGUCCGGAUUGCACUCUGCAACUCGAGUGCAUGAAGCUGGAAUCGCUAGUAAUCGCGGAUCAGCAUGCCGCGGUGAAUACGUUCCCGUUGUACACACCGAAUC